rnacentral:rRNA from 1 species
GACGAACGCUGGCGGCGUGCUUAACACAUGCAAGUCGAACGGAAAGGCCGUGCUUUUGUGGGCUGCUCGAGUGGCGAACGGGUGAGUAACACGUGAGUAACCUGCCCUUGACUUUGGGAUAAGUUCAGGAAACGGGGGCUAAUACCGGAUAGGAGCUGCUGCUGCAUGGUGAGGGGGGGAAAGUUUCGGCGGUUGGGGAUGGACUCGCGGCUUAUCAGCUUGUUGGUGGGGUAGUGGCUUACCAAGGCUUUGACGGGUAGCCGGCCUGAGAGGGUGACCGGCCACAUUGGGACUGAGAUACGGCCCAGACUCCUACGGGAGGCAGCAGUGGCGAAUAUUGCACAAUGGGCGGAAGCCUGAUGCAGCAACGCCGCGUGCGGGAUGACGGCCUUCGGGUUGUAAACCGCUUUCGCCUGUGACGAAGCGUGAGUGACGGUAAUGGGUAAAGAAGCACCGGCUAACUACGUG